AUGGCUGUCGUCAGCUCGUGUCGUGAGAUGUUGGGUUAAGUCCCGCAACGAGCGCAACCCUCGCCCUUAGUUGCCAGCAUUUAGCUGGGCACUCUAAGGGGACUGCCGGUGAUAAGCCGAGAGGAAGGUGGGGAUGACGUCAAGUCCUCAUGGCCCUUACGGGCUGGGCUACACACGUGCUACAAUGGUGGUGACAGUGGGCAGCGAGCACGCGAGUGUGAGCUAAUCUCCAAAAGCCAUCUCAGUUCGGAUUGCACUCUGCAACUCGAGUGCAUGAAGUUGGAAUCGCUAGUAAUCGCGGAUCAGCAUGCCGCGGUGAAUACGUACCCGGGCCUU
rnacentral:rRNA from 1 species